GUGAGAGAACACUAUCUGAGGCAGCUUGAAGAACUUCCUCACUGGGAACAGUUCCUUUCUGUUCUGGCAAGAUCCAAGUGACCAGGGUCCCUGAAAGCCCUUUCUUCGCAUUCAAAUUCAGUGGUCAGGCCUUGGCACUAACCGGCCUGUCCUAGCGUUAGCACAGUGCAUCACUGAGUCUUCUGUGAUGCUGUGUUCAGCUGCUCCUGGUGAUUCACUCUAGACUUUACCUCAUGUCCCAGUGGCUACUUCUGAGUCCUGCUUGCUGGGACUCCUGCCUGAGGACAUUUCUCUGGCAAGGAUCGUCACAAACGUGUGAAAUGUUUGCCCGGGGAAAACACACAGAAUGAAAUGUGAUGCCAGAGCUUACUGCUGUUUUGUCACAUGAGUGUUUUCGACUAAGAUAAGCCAACUUCCCAGAUUCCCAGAGAGAUUAUUUCUUCUGCUGCCGAAAGAAUACCAGGAUGUAGCAGUGGAAAUAGAGAACUUCAACAGUAAACUUGGAUUGGGAAGUCCUAACCUGUAUCUUGUGUCCUGGCAUGCUGGGAGCUCACGUCUUCUGUAAACUGUUGGCAUCUUGGAGUGUGGAGCUUCGAUGAUCUCGGAGCUGGAUAUGGAUGAAGAACCUAGGGAGAGGGGACAGAAAAGGUGUCCCGACUUAAGAACAACCAAAAGGAAGUUCUUUCAGUCACUUGAGUAAAUAUCUCCGCUGAAAGAGUUCAAGAGAUAAGUUAACCGAAGGACAGUUGUCUCUGUUUAUGCAUGCUUUGGAGAUGAUUUGAAGUUGGUGAAACUGAGGCCCAGAGACAGAUACAAUUUUCCUAAGUCAUUGUGACUAUUCCAGCAGCACAUUGGCCAGACAAGCUUUUUAUAGUCCUCUUAUGGAGACCCUGCAGCAGCGUGACAGAGGACUGUGAUGCUCCCAGGUGAUCUGUCUGGAACAGACAUCACUGUGUCUGGGACAUAGAGAAAAGGGGAUGAGUUACAGAUCCCUGCAGAGUACACACACAGGGACUUUUGGCUGUGCUCAUAUGGACCAUAGAUAUGGUCGAAGAAUAGAGUACUGUGAGAAGACUUCUCAGUGCUUGUGAGAAUAUUCCUAAAAAUCCAGACAUUGGCCUUGUGACCAAAGUUUCCUCAAAAUACCAAAUUGUCCAUGGACUGUGUUUUCAUGCUCCUCCCUGGUGUCUUGGAUAGAGGUCACAGUGCUGAUUUGUCCCUGCCCUUAAUCUGCCUGUUGGGAUCACAGUGAUUCUGGAAGAAUUACAGCACUUUUUAUGUGAUGCUGAUUUUCAGGGUUAAUUUAAUAAAAUUUUGUUCUCUAAUGUUUUGCAGCUAUAAUUAUGUUUCGACAUGUAGUCAUCUUCAUUUUCGCUUAACUUUUUGUAUCCUGUUAAAAACAUUUUGAAUGCAACAUUGAGAUCUGGAUCUUAUAGGAUUUUGACUGCUGAAAUCUUUGAUGUAUGUACAUCAAAGCGCAGGUUAGGGUGUUUAAAACACUUCAUUCCAUCAACUGCUAUUAGUACUCAAAGAAAUAUACAUGUAUGCU
rnacentral:sRNA from 1 species